UACUAGAGUAGCACUCGCAUAUCAAUAAGCGGAGGAAAAGAAACUAACAAGGAUUCCCUUAGUAACGGCGAGUGAAGCGGGAAGAGCUCAAGUUUGAAAUCUUCAAGGUUUUACCUUGACGAAUUGUAGUUUAUAGAAGUGUUUUCUGUAGUGGAGUUUGGUAAAAGUUCUUUGGAAUAGGACAUCAUAGAGGGUGAGAAUCCCGUAUUUGACCAUUAUUUCCAGCUGUGUGAUACACUUUCAAAGAGUCGGAUUGUUUGGGAAUGCAGUCCAAAAUGGGUGGUAAAUUUCAUCUAAAGCUAAAUAUUGGCGAGAGACCGAUAGCGAACAAGUACCGUGAGGGAAAGAUGAAAAGAACUUUGAAAAGAGAGUUAAACAGUACGUGAAAUUGUCAAAAGGGAAGCGUUUGACACCAGUGUUGUUUAGUUGAAAAUCAAUUCAAUAAUUUUUGAUUUUAAGUAGUAUUGACUUCAUCAGCUUGCUGCUUUCUUUUCGGAAAUUAUUGAAUGCACUUUUCAGUUAACAAGUCAACAUCAAUUUCUUUUGUUGUAAAAGGGUAAGAGGAAGGUGGCUUACGCUUCGGCGUAAGUGUUUAUAGCCUUUUACCUCUGCAAUCGGAGAGAUUGAGGACAGCAGCGUAGACUCCUUCGGGGGUUAGAUACACUUGUGCUAAGCUAUAGCCUUGUAUAGACAACUUGUUGACUAUGCUCAGUCAUGUAGCUUACUCGCUUGUGCUAUUUUACCUACGCUUAGGAUGUUGAAGAUAUGCGCGACACG
rnacentral:rRNA from 1 species